rnacentral:rRNA from 1 species
UGGCGGCAGCCCUUAUACAUGCAAGUCGAACGAGAAAGUUUCUUCGGAAGCGAGUAAAGUGGCGGACGGGUGAGUAACGCGUAGGAAUCUACCUUUCAGUGGGGGAUAGCUCGAGGAAACUCGAAUUAAUACCGCAUACACCCUUAGGGGGAAAGGGGGCCUCUCCUUGGAAGCUCUCGCUGUUAGAUGAGCCUGCGUGAGAUUAGUUUGUUGGUAAGGUAAUGGCUUACCAAGACUACGAUCUCUAGCUGGUCUGAGAGGACGAUCAGCCACACUGGGACUGAGACACGGCCCAGACUCCUACGGGAGGCAGCAGUAGGGAAUAUUGGACAAUGGGGGAAACCCUGAUCCAGGCAUGCCGCGUGUGUGAAGAAGGCCUUAGGGUUGUAAAGCACUUUAAGUGAGGAAGAAAAGAUUUAAGUUAAUAUCUUAAAUCCCUGACAUUACUCACAGAAUAAGGACCGGCUAACUCCGUGCCAGCAGCCGCGGUAAUACGGAGGGUCCAAGCGUUAAUCGGAAUUACUGGGCGUAAAGCGCGCGUAGAUGGUCUGUUUAGUUGGGUGUGAAAUCCCUGGGCUCAACCUAGGAACUGCAUUCAAAACUUACAGACUAGAGUACGAAAGAGGAGAGCAGAAUUCAUGGUGUAGCGGUGAAAUGCGUAGAUAUCAUGAGGAAUACCAGUGGCGAAGGCGGCUCUCUGGUUCGAGACUGACAUUGAGGUGCGAAAGCGUGGGUAGCAAACAGGAUUAGAUACCCUGGUAGUCCACGCCGUAAACGAUGAGAACUAGCCGUUGGAUCUUUAGAUUCAGUGGCGCAGCUAACGCAUUAAGUUCUCCGCCUGGGGAGUACGGCC